CAUCUCUCGCCUGGGCGCCACCGCCGCCGCCUCCUUCCCUGCCCUGACCAGCGCCGGAAGCCGCCGCUCGCUCCCUGUCCACUCUCUUCCCGGCCAGAACAGGGCGUCGAGUUCCCUCCCCCAUCCCGGCCAACGGCGGCCGCCGCGCCUCCUUCCCGUCCCGGCCGUUUCCCCCGCAUAGAGGUCAGGCCCUACGCCGCCGUCCGCCCUCUCCAAGCGCUGCGCCGGCGGCUGGUGAGGUGGAGGGGCUCUGAAACAAAUCGCGCGCGGCGGCGUGCCAUCGUGCUCUACAAGGAGAGGAGACAGGCCUGCUUCUGCCUUCGAACAAAACGAAAAAUGGCACCCGAUCACGCGGCGCGGUCGAUCGCCAGGAAGGGAUUUCGGGUAACAGGAUAGUGAACGGAGGGAGUACAAAUAAAGUGACACCCGAUCUGUUCGAGCAAAUGCCGCGAGAUCCUCCACCGCCCCGGCAUGCCAUCUAACCACCGGAAGAGCUACCCGCAAAUUACCAUCCGGUAGCCGGAGCGUUCCAGGUCCUCUCCUGGCCCAGGAGACACGGCGCGGGGCCAUGAGACCACAGUCAGGAGGCUCGCGGCGGCGGGAGAUGCGGUUGCACGGGAUAGCGUACCCCGAGGCCGAAGCUCCCGUCGCCGCCAUCUGCGCCUUCACGCUGCUUUGGAAGAACCUGUUCGGGGCGGUGGUGCCAGUGAGUGUGCGAAAACACGAAGAACGGAGGAAGGCUAUCGGACUGGCAAGUGCACUUGAUUGGGCACAUUGUUGAAGAUUGAUAAAUGAUAACUAGUCCUAGAGAACCUCUACGAACCUGCACGCCAUUGAACCAAUUUAGUUGACUGAGCGUAUCUUUGACGUUUUAUAAGCAUAUGCUUGAAGUCCCGGUGCUGCUACCAUUUGAACUUGUUAGUGAAGGGCUAAGUUGACAAGCAGCAUUCUCUCUGCAAAGUUGAUCACAUGACUUAAAUUUAUGAAGAGAUUUCCCUAUGAUUCAUCAGAAGUACCAUUUGAAUUCGCAAACUAGUGGAUCUCCUGCUGGGCUGCAUACAAAGGGCAUGAAUUAAGAUACAGAAGCGAGAGUACAAUUAUCAAUUAUGGACAAAGGUAGAACGAAGACCAUAGGAGUCAGCUUUACGGCAUUAGGGUUUACCAGGUACUGGAUCCAACACUACGCCCUUGAUGUACUCGAAACCCCGUAGCUGAUAUGUGACAUACAAAGGGAUUAUUAUACGAUUCUCACGGAUGCGGUGAAAAGUCAAAGAUCAAAGAAUCAACACUCUACAGAAAUUGCUGAGUUCCUUUUAAUUCUAGUGCAAAAUGUAGUGAAAACUAUGUUGACCAUAAUGUUAGGAUAAUUCGAGGGUGACAUGAUGAACCAUGUGAUAUGUUCAGUGUUCAAUUUAGAAGUGAAUAAAUGACCGUACC